CAUCGCUGGAGGGCAGCCUGGUGGAGAUGGAGGUGUGUUACAGGACCCUGCCGGCCCAGCUGCAGGGGCUUAACAGAAGCAUGGAGCAGCAGCUGUGCGAGCUCUGCUGCGACACGGAGCACCAGGACCACAAGCACAGGUCCUUCUGGACGUGAAGACGUGGCUGGAGCAGGAGAUCGCCACCUACCGCCGCUUGCUGGAGGUUGAGGACGCCCACCACAGUGACCAGCCACCAGGUGUGCCAUCGUGGAGGAAGUCCAGGUUGGAGAGGUGGUCUUCUUCUGUGAGCAGGUCCACUUCUCCACCCACUGAGACCCCUUUCUGUCUGCGACAGCCCCACCUCGAGGGCCACGGCACAGCCAUCAGCUCCAGCUCCCAGCAUGCUACUGCCACGCCCCGAGUGUCCGUCUGGGCCCCGGUGCAUGGCCUGUUGUCUUUCUGUAUCUACUUUCUGCAGCCCCUCACUGAGGAGGCCUCCUGGGUUUGUCCAGUGCCUACUAUUAAAGCUUUGCUCCAAGUUCAA
rnacentral:lncRNA from 1 species